AUAAAAGACUCUCGGCAACGGAUAUCUCGGCUCUCGCAUCGACGAAGAACAUAGCGAAAUGCGAUACUUGGUGUGAGUUGUAGAAUCCCGUGAACCAUCGAGUCUUUGAACGCAUGUUGCGCCCGAAGCCAUUAGGCCGAGGGGCAUC
rnacentral:rRNA from 1 species